UAGGGAAUCUUCGGCAAUGGGGGCAACCCUGACCGAGCAACGCCGCGUGAGUGAAGAAGGUUUUCGGAUCGUAAAGCUCUGUUGUAAGAGAAGAACGUGUGUGAGAGUGGAAAGUUCACACAGUGACGGUAACUUACCAGAAAGGGACGGCUAACUACGUGCCAGCAGCCGCGGUAAUACGUAGGUCCCGAGCGUUGUCCGGAUUUAUUGGGCGUAAAGCGAGCGCAGGCGGUUUAAUAAGUCUGAAGUUAAAGGCAGUGGCUUAACCAUUGUUCGCUUUGGAAACUGUUAAACUUGAGUGCAGAAGGGGAGAGUGGAAUUCCAUGUGUAGCGGUGAAAUGCGUAGAUAUAUGGAGGAACACCGGUGGCGAAAGCGGCUCUCUGGUCUGUAACUGACGCUGAGGCUCGAAAGCGUGGGGAGCAAACAGU
rnacentral:rRNA from 1 species